AAGUCGUAACAAGGUUUCCGUAGGUGAACCUGCGGAAGGAUCAUUACAAGAAACGAGGCUACGUGCCCCGCUCUUUACCUUGCCUACUGCACUAUCUGUUGCUUCCUGGCGGUGGUUUGCCUGCCGCCAGGGACAUUGUAAAGCCCUGCAUAAGCAUUGAAAAACUGAAACAAACCGAAUCGUACAACUUUCAACAAUGGAUCUCUUGGUUCUG
rnacentral:misc_RNA from 1 species